rnacentral:misc_RNA from 1 species
GCAAACUUGGUCAUUUAGAGGAAGUAAAAGUCGUAACAAGGUUUCCGUAGGUGAACCUGCGGAAGGAUCAUUACCGAGUUAGGGUGCUCUCCGCGCCCGACCUCCAACCCUUUGUCUACUUGACCAGAUGUUGCUUCGGCAGGCCCGCCACCUCCCCUUAACCCGGGGGGUGGCCGCCGGGGGUCCUUUACCGGUCCCGGGCCCGCGCCUGUCGACGGCCCUCUACAAACUCUUGUUUAGAAACGUGUCGUCUGAAGUACCACAAAAAUAAAAACAAAAACUUUCAACAACGGAUCUCUUGGUUCUGGCAUCGAUGAAGAACGCAGC